UGAGGGAUCGCAUGUUUGGGAAGAAUUCGUUUCUUGCAACCGCUGCAAAUCAGUUUGUUUUGAAACGUCGGGGAGCGAGGACGAGUCUGCUCGGUCUUCGAAGAAAUUCGUUCGACGCGUUCAAGAUUGAAGUCAUUUAAGUGGUCCUGAUCACCGGCAGGCUGGACACAACGACUGAGGGACGGAGACAACGAACUUUGUGCUUCAUGCACGAACGUUGAUGCGUGAAUUAGAGGAGCCGAGAGUGCAUUUUACACCUGGAUUACACAAGCAAGUUACGUCAAGCGAUGUCGUAAAUGGGUGAGUCAAUCGUCUACUGUGGUUGGUGUUACGUUCUGCGGAAGAAACGGAAGUUGGGGAAGAACAGCUAUCCAAAGGUGUGGAAGAGAUAAAGAAGCGUGACCACAGAGCAGCUGCAGUGGUGAAGGAGAGACGCAGUGGUCAUCGUUCAUCCAUA